AGAGUUUGAUCCUGGCUCAGGAUGAACGCUGGCGGCGUGCCUAAUACAUGCAAGUCGAGCGAAUGGAUUGAGAGCUUGCUCUCAAGAAGUUAGCGGCGGACGGGUGAGUAACACGUGGGUAACCUGCCCAUAAGACUGGGAUAACUCCGGGAAACCGGGGCUAAUACCGGAUAAUAUUUUGAACUGCAUGGUUCGAAAUUGAAAGGCGGCUUCGGCUGUCACUUAUGGAUGGACCCGCGUCGCAUUAGCUAGUUGGUGAGGUAACGGCUCACCAAGGCAACGAUGCGUAGCCGACCUGAGAGGGUGAUCGGCCACACUAGGACUGAGACACGGCCCAGACUCCUACGGGAGGCAGCAGUAGGGAAUCUUCCGCAAUGGACGAAAGUCUGACGGAGCAACGCCGCGUGAGUGAUGAAGGCUUUCGGGUCGUAAAACUCUGUUGUUAGGGAAGAACAAGUGCUAGUUGAAUAAGCUGGCACCUUGACGGUACCUAACCAGAAAGCCACGGCUAACUACGUGCCAGCAGCCGCGGUAAUACGUAGGUGGCAAGCGUUAUCCGGAAUUAUUGGGCGUAAAGCGCGCGCAGGUGGUUUCUUAAGUCUGAUGUGAAAGCCCACGGCUCAACCGUGGAGGGUCAUUGGAAACUGGGAGACUUGAGUGCAGAAGAGGAAAGUGGAAUUCCAUGUGUAGCGGUGAAAUGCGUAGAGAUAUGGAGGAACACCAGUGGCGAAGGCGACUUUCUGGUCUGUAACUGACACUGAGGCGCGAAAGCGUGGGGAGCAAACAGGAUUAGAUACCCUGGUAGUCC
rnacentral:rRNA from 1 species